rnacentral:misc_RNA from 1 species
AAUUAUUCACAAAGUCGUGCAGUUGCACUCCAUAAUGUGGAAUCCACCAUAUCAGAACUCAGUGGAAUUUUUACACAUCUUGCCACUAUGGUAGCACAUCAAGGAGAACUUGCUAUCAGGAUUGAUGACAAUAUGGAUGAAUCGUUGGCAAACGUAGAUGGUGCUCGGAGUGCUCUUUUAAGGCAUCUUAACCAGAUAUCAU